AUCACCUUGAACAUUUCUCAUCCCUUGCAUUAGUCUGGGCGUGCACCUACCGAGCAGAAAGGAAUAUGUAAAAGGAUGCCAAACUCUUGUGUCCUGUGAAGAGUGAUGCAGACAAAGUGCCAGCUAUUCAGCAGUGACUCUGCAAUUAAAGGGCUAUGAAUACACGACUUUCAGGUCCUGGAAGGAAGCCCUUCUGCAUGAUUACAGUUCUGAUAUCACAUCGCAUGUAACUUGACUCUCAGAUCCAAGUAAUGACAAUUUAAGGCUUGUCUACAUGGGAAGUCAUUCCAGAAGAGCUAUUCCUGAUCAACUCUAUGGCCUGGUCUACACUACGAGUUUGUCGAAUUUAGCAGCGUUAAAUCGAAUUAACCAUG